rnacentral:rRNA from 1 species
GCCAGACUCCUACGGGAGGCAGCAGUGGGGAAUAUUGCACAAUGGGGGGAACCCUGAUGCAGCAACGCCGCGUGGGUGAAGAAGUACUCCGGUAUGUAAAGCCCUGUCAGCAGGGAAGAAAAUGACGGUACCUGACCAAGAAGCCCCGGCUAACUCCGUGCCAGCAGCCGCGGUAAUACGGAGGAUGCGAGCGUUAUCCGGAUUUAUUGGGUUUAAAGGGUGCGCAGGCGGUCUGUUAAGUCAGCGGUCAACGCCGGGGCCCCACCCCCGCCCCGCCGUUGAAACUGGCAGUCUCGAGUUGGAGAGAAGUAUGCGGAAUGCGCGGUGUAGCGGUGAAAUGCAUAGAUAUCGCGCAGAACUCCGAUUGCGAAGGCAGCAUGCCGGCUCCACACUGACGCUGAGGCACGAAAGCGUGGGUAUCGAACAGGAUUAGAUACCCUUGUA